rfam:Ammonifex degensii KC4, complete genome.
CCGUGCUAGACGGGGAGGUAGCGGUGCCCUGUACCCGCAAUCCGCUAUAGCGGGGUCGAAUUCCUGCCCGCGGGCCCGGUUUGUGGUACGGCUACCGCAAGGGGCGAAGAAGGCUGGGUCUCGCGCGACGGAGCUUCCCGAACCGUGUCAGGUCCUGACGGAAGCAGCACUAAGGGAAAUCCUCCGGGUGCCGCGAGGGUGCCUGGCCCGAGUUACCUGCGGUCGGCGUCGACCGGAGACCGGUGUUCAACGGCAGGUGCACGG